rnacentral:misc_RNA from 1 species
AAGGCCCAAUCGAAAGACGUUAUUUUGCUGCCAUGAGCGACGUGAAGGGUCCCAAAUGACGUCGUGGCCAUGGCGGAAGUGUAAUCGCGGCCGUUCAAGGGCAAAGUCUGCGACUUUUCGAGGUUGAAAGCAUCAAAUUGACAAGGAUUCGAUAGAGAGUUAAUUAACAGAGACUCGAUAUUAUAAAAUUUGGAUUCUGCAAUCAAAUCUUCAAGAUCAAAAGAUUUAGCCUUUGAAGGGAGAUUCCCAGUUCUCAAAAGAGAGAGUAGGACAGAGAACAACUCAGGGUCUCUGUCGAUGA